UACGUAGGGUGCGAGCGUUGUCCGGAAUUACUGGGCGUAAAGAGCUCGUAGGUGGUUUGUCGCGUUGUUCGUGAAAACUCACAGCUUAACUGUGGGCGUGCGGGCGAUACGGGCAGACUGGAGUACUGCAGGGGAGACUGGAAUUCCUGGUGUAGCGGUGGAAUGCGUAGAUAUCAGGAGGAACACCAGUGGCGAAGGCGGCUUUCUGGACGGUAACUGACGCUGAGACGCGAAAGCGUGGGGAGCAAACAGG
rnacentral:rRNA from 1 species